rnacentral:rRNA from 1 species
CCCUUAGAUGUUCUGGGCCGCACGCGCGCUACACUGAUGCAUUCAACGAGUCUAAAACCUGCUCUGAUAGGGGUGGGUAAUCUUUUGAAUGUGCAUCGUGAUUGGGAUAGAUGAUUGCAAUUUUUCAUCUUCAACGAGGAAUGCCUAGUAAACGCAAGUCAUCGGCUUGCAUUGAUUACGUCCCUGCCCUUUGUACACACCGCCCGUCGCUCCUACCGAUUGAAUGAUCCGAUGAAUAUCAUGGAUUGAGGAUUAUAGCAGGUUCGCCUGUCUUGAUCUUCGAGAAGUGAAGUAAAUCUUAUCAUUUAGAGGAAGGAGAAGUCGUAACA